rnacentral:pre_miRNA from 1 species
UACAUACUCCCUCUGUCCGGAAAUACUUGUCCUAAAGUAGAUGUAUCUAGACUUAUUUUAGUUAUAGAUACAUCUAUUUUAUAUAUUUUUAGGACAAGUAUUUACGAACGGAGGGAGUACUAA